AAUAUGCGCUUAAAAGGCACUAAUGCGCUUUUUUGCAAAAUAAGCUGUUUGGAGAAGAAAUAAUAAAUCCUGUUUUACCGCUGUGUAUGGCAUCAACUUGCUUGAAGCAGUACUUUAAUUACUAGAUAACAUCCUUAUUUUAAGAAGAACAUUUGACCAUAAGGCAAUCAUCAUUAAAUCAAUAAUUUUCACGUUUAAUGGAGUAUCAGUACUAGCAAGCAGUACUGGAGUUUUAGGGCGACACUGCCAUAAAACGCUAAUAAUUGUUACGACCCUUCAGUAAGCAACAAAGGUUUAACACGUAGUGAUAAGUUGUUUAUUCAAUUCCCUACCAAAAAUGUUUCUUGAACCAUUUUCGACUAAUCUGCCUCAUUAGCGAAGGAAUGUUUUAUUAUACAGUGUGACAAUAGGAAACAAAUCAGCGGAAUUUUCGGGUACUUAGAAAUAGAAAAAUUAUCAGGCACGUAAAUGUUAUAUUCAAGGUGGACACAUUAUGACACACGACAACCUAGUUUGGGUGAGUUAAAUCCCUAUAAUUUUAAACGGAAAGUAGAUCCGAAUGGGACUUUGCUUGAAAGUAUUUCAAUUCUCGCUAUAAUCAUACCCAGAUUGACUAACUUUCAUCAUUUCAACUGAAAAUCAUCAGUAGUUACUAUUAGAUGUAAGCUAGUAGACAUGAUGGUAAGUAAAAUGUUAUCAAAUUUCCUGAAUUCAAAAAAAGGAAUGCUAGACAUGUUUAUCAUUUAAUUUAAAAUUUUGUUAUAUUGACUAAACUACCCGGUAAACUGACCAGGGAUUUGUACCGGUUCCUCAUUUGCUAUUGCUCGCCAGGAAUAAAAAAACAUCUAAUAUUCAGGUGUCGAAUCAAAUUAAAACUUUAAAACAAAAUUUAAACGAAUAGCUAAAAUAAUGUCACCAUAGUCAUUGCAGGGAAGUGAAGAAAUCCAUAAUCGUCCUCUGAAAUGAUCAGAAAAUGCCUCUGCUUCCUUUUUGAUGGGUCACUCUAUAUAUGAUUACUAUAAGUCACUUGUUUUGUUGAGAUAAAGUGUAAUCAGUAAUAGCUCAUUAAUAUUCCGUUGACGAAAUAAUCUCAAUUAUUUCUGCAAACAGAAAGCUGUUUUGGUUUUUUUUAAAAACACCGAAAGUUUUACCCUUGCUGAAGUUCGCGGUGUUUAAGCCAACAGUAAUAAAGCACAGCACGAAAUUCUGAACAGUCAAACACCCAGACAAUUCAACGACAAGCCGUAUUCCCGCAUUGCGCAGUCCGAUCGAACUAGCGCUAUGACGUCACGACCAUUCCCGCGCAUUCAUUGUCGUUUCAAAUGAAUAGCCUGCGGUCACAACUUUAAUUGUUUAUUGCAAAUUAAAUUUUGCGAUUUGGAGGCUGAUAUUUGGUUUGUGCGAUUUCUAUAGAUAGGCAAAUAUAUUAAAGAAAUAAAAAAAUGUUCAAGUUUCCAAUUA
rnacentral:lncRNA from 1 species